UGGGGGAUAUUGCACAAUGGGGGAAACCCUGAUGCAGCGACGCCGCGUGGAGGAAGAAGGUUUUCGGAUUGUAAACUCCUGUCGUUAGGGACGAUAAUGACGGUACCUAACAAGAAAGCACCGGCUAACUACGUGCCAGCAGCCGCGGUAAAACGUAGGGUGCAAGCGUUGUCCGGAAUUACUGGGUGUAAAGGGAGCGCAGGCGGGAAGACAAGUUGGAAGUGAAAACCAUGGGCUCAACCCAUGAAUUGCUUUCAAAACUGUUUUUCUUGAGUAGUGCAGAGGUAGAUGGAAUUCCCGGUGUAGCGGUGGAAUGCGUAGAUAUCGGGAGGAACACCAGUGGCGAAGGCGGUCUACUGGGCACCAACUGACGCUGAGGCUCGAAAGCAUGGGUAGCAAACAGGAUUAGAUACCCUGGUAGUCCAUGCCGUAAACGAUGAUUACUAGGUGUUGGGGGAUUGACCCCCUCAGUGCCGCAGUUAACACAAUAAGUAAUCCACCUGGGGAGUACGACCGCAAGGUUGAAACUCAAAGGAAUUGACGGGGGCCCGCACAAGCAGUGGAGUAUGUGGUUUAAUUCGACGCAACGCGAAGAACCUUACCAAGUCUUGACAUCCCUUGACGAUGCUGGAAACAGUAUUUCUCUUCGGAGCAAGGAGACAGGUGGUGCAUGGUUGUCGUCAGCUCGUGUCGUGAGAUGUUGGGUUAAGUCCCGCAACGAGCGCAACCCUUAUGGUCAGUUACUACGCAAGAGGACUCUGGCCAGACUGCCGUUGACAAAACGGAGGAAGGUGGGGAUGACGUCAAAUCAUCAUGCCCUUUAUGACUUGGGCUACACACGUACUACAAUGGCGUUAAACAAAGAGAAGCAAGACCGCGAGGUGGAGCAAAACUCAGAAACAACGUCCCAGUUCGGACUGCAGGCUGCAACUCGCCUGCACGAAGUCGGAAUUGCUAGUAAUCGUGGAUCAGCAUGCCACGGUGAAUACGUUCCC
rnacentral:rRNA from 1 species